UCGGCUCGCCCCUCGAGCAACCAGUGACUGUAAAAGGCUUCUCCCCCGAGCUGAACGACCAUCUCCAGCGGGUCCGCCUACCCACGGUCGCCGGCCCUCCUUUGUUCUCUCCCGUCUCCCGCAUUCUAAGAGACCUCCCGGCCAAGGACGCUGAGGACGGUCCCACAGCGCGCAGCUGUCUUUUUCGUUUGAAUAAACAAAACAAAGCACCCUC